AACGAACGCUGGCGGCAGGCUUAACACAUGCAAGUCGAACGCCCCGCAAGGGGAGUGGCAGACGGGUGAGUAACGCGUGGGAAUCUACCCAGAUCUACGGAACAACAGUUGGAAACGACUGCUAAUACCGUAUACGCCCUACGGGGGAAAGAUUUAUCGGAUUCGGAUGAGCCCGCGUUGGAUUAGCUAGUUGGUGAGGUAGUGGCUCACCAAGGCGACGAGCCAUCGCUGGUCUGAGAGGAUGAUCAGCCACACUGGGACUGAGACACGGCCCAGACUCCUACGGGAGGCAGCAGUGGGGAAUAUUGGACAAUGGGCGCAAGCCUGAUCCAGCCAUGCCGCGUGAGUGAUGAAGGCCUUAGGGUUGGAAAGCUCUUUCACCGAUGAAGAUAAUGACGGUAGUCGGAGAAGAAGCCCCGGCUAACUUCGUGCCAGCCGCCGCGGUAAAAC
rnacentral:rRNA from 1 species